AAUCCUGUCAUACCUCGGAUUUUGGUGCCUUCAGUCUGAAAAAUACACACAUCCAUUUGGUACCCUAGAGGAACUGGAGAAUUGUCUUCCCCUGAAUGAAGCUGGACCAUUCUGGGAUUUGGAGAAAGGGCCAGGCAGGCAACUCGUGAGCGAGUGAUGUGGAUCUGGUGGGCAGACCGCAGAGGUUGGUGGGGAACUCGAAGGAACCAGGACGCCCGCUGUGAUGUACUGGCCUGGGUGCCCCGCUCAGGCUCCCCGAAGCCCCCAGGAACCCCCGCAGCCUGGCUCUCGGCCGACCCUCUUCGGGACACCAGUGUCAUGUUGCGUUCACUGAUCCGUAUGAUGGCAUGUCCGGCACCACCAGUGACGGCAGGUUCGCUGCUCCGUGUGAUGACGCCUUCCCCGCUCCACGGAGUGCUAGCCUGCGUGUUCGUCGUGCUGAGAGGUCACAGAGGGAAAGGGAGCCUUGGAGCAAUGCCCCGGGGGAUAGAGGCCAGAAUGUUCCAGGUGGAAAAAAUCUGUGCUCCAGGUGGUGACAGCAGUGAAAUCUGGCCACACCAGGGAGUGUCUGCUGCGGGGAGCCUCGGCCAGGCCACCGUCGGGCCUCCCUCCAGCCUGCUGGGCAGUAGCCCCCCUUCCCACGUCCACGCUCCGUGGGCCGCGGGCACUGGCACCCUGGGAGCUGGAGAGAUGCAGCUGGAAGAGCCCGCGCCCGGGGCACGAGGGGUCCCAUGCCAUGUCACGGGCUUGUCCCCAGCUGCCACCGUGCUGAUGGCUUGGCCGCCACUGCUGCUUACUGAGCACACCCGCGUGGGCCCUCGCUGCUGUGCCUUCUGUCGAGGCUCCGGCUCUCUCAUCCCUGAGGGACCCCGGCAUCCCACCUACCCAGGCUCACCAAGACAGGGCCCAUCACCGGUCCUCCGCACUCCUGAGUGUCGCACAGAGCGGGGGUCAGGCCACCUUAGGUUGUUGGGCUAUGGUUUUUGCAGAGUCCUGAGCUCCUGUGAAGAUCUGCUUCUCUCCAGCCUUGGGCUAUCUGCAUUCUUGAACAUCUCCGGGCCCAGAAGGAAAAGAAGAAUGCUGAGCAGCUCAGGGAAUGGCUUGAAUGAAAAGAGCACGUUCCUGGCGGUGGUGACAUCGGUCUGCAAGCAGUCAGCCCGAUAG
rnacentral:lncRNA from 1 species